UUCUUAACCCGUUCACUGCCAGCCAUAUCUACCACCGUGAGUAAGCCCUGGUGUUGUAAGAGCUCCAAAGUUCGCCUGUAUCCACUGGAGUUGAGCUGAGGCAUCACAGUAGUGUUGUCUGGUCGAGGAACACGGUUGACCUUGAGCUGGAGCACACAGUGUGACCUAGAGGAGUGCUUGUUCAUCAUCGUCUCGGCAUACACCAGCCCCUUCCUUCCCUGUCGAAAGCAGUCCAAGAGAUGCUCGGGCGAUUUGCACCUGUACCACGUGCAGUCCAGAAGCUCCCAGCCUCCACCCGCUGACGCCUUCCUCUGACACGCCCUCAGACCUCGCUCGGAGUUUCCCGGAGUGCGCUUCAUGUCGUUCGGUUUGAGCAGGUCCAUGACCGUCUCGUUGUAAAUCUGCACCAUCGCUAUCUCCACGUCGUACAUGUGCGUCCAAUCCGCGGCGAUGCGGGUGAACAAGUCGACCGCGAGCCUCGGCACGAGACCGGCCUCGCCUCCGUCGCCAAGGUUGAGCAGGGAGUGUGUUUUGCCGCUCCCCGUCUGGCCGUACCCGAGGAUGGCGCCGUGACAUCCACGGAGGACUGAGUCCAGCACGGGCGCGCCGACGGCCUCGUAAACAUCAUGUUGCGUGGAUCG
rnacentral:lncRNA from 1 species